rnacentral:rRNA from 1 species
UUUAAGGUUUAACCUGCCCAAUGAGUAAUUAAAUGGCCGCGGUAUUUUGACCGUGCAAAGGUAGCAUAAUAAUUAGUUUUUUAAUUGAAAGCUGGAAUGAAUGGUUGGACGAGAAAAUUACUGUCUCAAUUUGAUUUUUGAUGAAUUUUAUCUUUGAGUAAAAAAGCUCAAAUUUUUUUAAAAGACGAGAAGACCCUAUAGAGUUUAAUAGUUGUUUAAAUUAAGGAUUUUUUAGAAUUUUAUUUUUYUUAUUUAUUUAACUAUUUCGUUGGGGUGAUGGAAAAAUUUAAUAAACUUUUUUUUUUGUUUAUCAUUAAUUUAUGUUUAAUUGAUCCAAUUUUUUUGAUUAUAAGAUUAAAUUACCUUAGGGAUAACAGCGUAAUUUUUCUUUAGAGUUCUUAUCGAAAGGAAAGUUUGCGACCCCCAGGUUGGAUUAAAAUUAACUUUUGGUGCAGGGGCUAGACGGUUGGGUCUGUUCGACCUUUAAAAUUUUAC